rnacentral:misc_RNA from 1 species
CUUUCAAGGGUACUUUAUUGUUGCUGGAGGAUACACUAGAGGCAAUGGUAAUGAAGUGAUUGCUAGUGGAGGUGCUGAUUUAGUUGCACUUGGACGCUGGUUUCUGGCUAACCCUGAUCUACCAAGGAGAUACGAGCUCAAUGCUGCGCUUAACAAGUAUGAUAGAAGCACUUUUUAUACAUUUGACCCUGUUGUUGGCUAUACAGACU